CCCUUAGAUGUUCUGGGCCGCACGCGCGCUACAAUGGUCUUCGCAAACGGAUGCAUUCUCGAAGGAGAAUGCCAAUCUUGGAAUCUAUGCCUUGGUCGGGACAGUUGCUUGCAAUUUUUCGACUCGAACCAGGAAUUCCUUGUAAUCGUGAUUCAUCACAUCACGAUGAAUACGUCCCUGCCCUUUGUACACACCGCCCGUCGCUCCUACCGAUCGAAGAGUUAGGUGAAUUGUUUUGAUCGAUAAGAUUUGACUAUGGUCAACUCUCGUUGUGAAAUUCUGUGAAUCUGACUGUUUAGAGGAAGGAAAAGGCGGAACA
rnacentral:rRNA from 1 species